GAUGAACGCUAGCGGCAGGCUUAAUACAUGCAAGUCGAGGGGCAGCAUGAGUGUAGCAAUACAUUUGAUGGCGACCGGCAAACGGGCGCGGAACACGUACACAACCUUCCUAUAAGUGGGGAAUAGCCCAGAGAAAUUUGGAUUAAUACCCCGUAACAUAAUGAUGUGGCAUCACAUUAUUAUUAUAGCUUCGGCGCUUAUUGAUGGGUGUGCGGCUGAUUAGAUAGUUGGCGGGGUAACGGCCCACCAAGUCUACGAUCAGUAGCUGAUGUGAGAGCAUGAUCAGCAACACGGGCACUGAGACACGGGCCCGACUCCUACGGGAGGCAGCAGUAAGGAAUAUUGGUCAAUGGACGCAAGUCUGAACCAGCCAUGCCGCGUGAAGGAUUAAGGUCCUCUGGAUUGUAAACUUCUUUUAUCUGGGACGAAAAAAGGCGAUUCUUCGUCACUUGACGGUACCAGAUGAAUAAGCACCGGCUAACUCCGUGCCAGCAGCCGCGGUAACAC
rnacentral:rRNA from 1 species